CAUUUCUCACUAAUUGGUAUUUGCAUGGCAAAUCCCGUGUAAAGACAUGAUCAUUUGCAUGUUCUGUGGGUAAUGAUAUUUGAUGGUGUCAACUUAUUAUGGCCUUAAUCACCACUCAAUUUCUUGCCUUCAAAGCUCCCAAUCAUGACAAGACCAAAAUAACUCCCCUAACCAAGCUCUUGCCAGGGUCUCUCCUAGAAAGGCGAAUACAAAGGGAUCCCCUGUCCCUCUGUGGGGAACCUUUCUCUACCUCUAGGCUGCUCAAUGUGGAGAAAGAGAAUCCUGGCUUAUAAUUUACUGGCUAAGCAAGUCAGUUUAACCACUGAGACCUCAGUUUACUCUUCUGCAAAAUGACUCCAUUUCCCCUGGGAUCUGUUCUAACUUAACAUCAAGAAUCUCAGAAUAACUUAGGCAGGAUCCCUUCAAAACAGCAGGCAUUUCCUGAAUGUGGCUUCCUUUCAGAGAAGGGGAGAAACAUCCUUAUAGGGGAAGGAACCUUAAAGUGGGAAUCAGGAGAACAGAUGCACAGUAUAGUUACAUAGCCCAGCUUGGUUAACUUUUUAGAACUGAGAUAUCUGCACAAUAAGCAACACACAGUUGCUCCCUAGGCAAGUCUCUCUGACUCUCUGUAUGUCAUUUUCCAGCCUUAGAUCUGGGUUCAACUCUUCCCUUUAACUCCUCCUAGUUGUAGGACCAUGGGGCAAGUCACAUCAUGUCUAUGAGCCUCAGUUUCUUCAUGUGUUCUUGUGAGACUCAUCUGAGAUAAUGGGUAUAGAGGACUUCAUAAACUUUGCAGCAACAUGUCAUCACAUUUUAUACAUGAGUAGAUUAAAGACCAGAAAAAUGAGAUGACAUCAUCACCAUCACCAUCAUUGCCAUCACCAUCACCAUCAUCGCCAUCACCAUCACCAUCAUCGCCAUCACCAUCACCAUCAUCGCCAUCACCAUCACCAUCAUCGCCAUCACCAUCAUCGCCAUCGCCAUCACCAUCAUCGCCAUCGCCAUCAUCGCCAUCGCCAUCGCCAUCAUCGCCAUCGCCAUCACCAUCAUCGCCAUCACCAUCACCAUCAUCGCCAUCACCAUCACCAUCAUUGCCAUCACCAUCACCAUCAUCGCCAUCACCAUCACCAUCAUUGCCAUCACCAUCACCAUCAUCACCAUCACCAUCAUCAUCAUCAUCGCUACCAGAUCAGCUCCAGGACCCAUCCCACAUGCAUCCUUCUGCCUUUUAAUGAUCUCUAUGCAUGCUGGGAAGACAUCUACUGCAGCUGUUUUCAAGGUUCGGGUGUUGCACCUGGUAAGAUGUGCCAUCUCCCAUUUAUCUCAUCUGGGCAAAGAGGCAAGAUAGGGACCCGGGCAUAAAUCACUUGGUGUCUGCUAACACUGCCUUCCUGCAGUGGGAAUAAGAAGAUACCAGAGCCCAGGGAAGCAGAGAAGAGAAAUACAGCCAAAACAAGGUGUCUUCUGCUAAGAGCUCAUUGGAGAGCUCUGAGAGAGCCAGCUGUAAUGAGGGCAUGGGCUAAUUAAAUAAAUAUUGGAAGACUGGGGUUCAAAACCCCCAAAUCUA